UGUUGGUGGGGUAACGGCUCACCAAGGCGACGAUCCCUAGCUGGUCUGAGAGGAUGACCAGCCACACUGGAACUGAGACACGGUCCAGACUCCUACGGGAGGCAGCAGUGGGGAAUAUUGCACAAUGGGCGCAAGCCUGAUGCAGCCAUGCCGCGUGUAUGAAGAAGGCCUUCGGGUUGUAAAGUACUUUCAGCGGGGAGGAAGGGAGUAAAGUUAAUACCUUUGCUCAUUGACGUUACCCGCAGAAGAAGCACCGGCUAACUCCGUGCCAGCAGCCGCGGUAAUACGGAGGGUGCAAGCGUUAAUCGGAAUUACUGAGCGUAAAGCGCACGCAGGCGGUUUGUUAAGUCAGAUGUGAAAUCCCCGGGCUCAACCUGGGAACUGCAUCUGAUACUGGCAAGCUUGAGUCUCGUAGAGGGGGGUAGAAUUCCAGGUGUAGCGGUGAAAUGCGUAGAGAUCUGGAGGAAUACCGGUGGCGAAGGCGGCCCCCUGGACGAAGACUGACGCUCAGGUGUGAAAGCGUGGGGAGCAAACAGGAUUAGAUACCCUGGUGGUCCACGCCGUAAACGAUGUCGACUUGGAGGUUGUGCCCUUGAGGCGUGGCUUUCGGAGCUAACGCGUUAAGUCGACCGCCUGGGGAGUACGGCCGCAAGGUUAAAACUCAAAUGAAUUGACGGGGGCCCGCACAAGCGGUGGAGCAUGUGGUUUAAUUCGAUGCAACGCGAAGAACCUUACCUGGUCUUGACAUCCACGGAAGUUUUCAGAGAUGAGAAUGUGCCUUCGGGAACCGUGAGACAGGUGCUGCAUGGCUGUCGUCAGCUCGUGUUGUGAAAUGUUGGGUUAAGUCCCGCAACGAGCGCAACCCUUAUCCUUUGUUGCCAGCGGUCCGGCCGGGAACUCAAAGGAGACUGCCAGUGAUAAACUGGAGGAAGGUGGGGAUGACGUCAA
rnacentral:rRNA from 1 species